AAUUAGGGGACACAAGUGAGGGUCGUGACUAGGGACAGGGGUCACGGCUGGGAGAGACACAGCUGGGGACAGAGGACACAGCUGGGGAACAUGACUGUGGAUGGGACACAGCUGGGGACGGGGCUGGGCGGGCACUGCGGGAGCUAUGGAUGGAGUGACAUCGGGCAUGGAUGGCACUGGGGGGCACGCGGCUGUCACAGCUGUGCGGGGUAGAAAAAGGGACGCUACCUCUUUAAGAAAGACACAAGAGGGGCGUGGUCUCCGUUGGGCGUGGCCAUCGUUGGCCCCGCCCCAUCGCGCGCCGGCGGGCGUGGUACCGGGCGGUUGCUGCGGAUGACGUCAUGCGGCUGCGCCCGCGGCGGCGCAUGCGCGGCGGGGCCCAGGGCCUGGUCGGGCGGCGCGGAGCCUGCGGACGGGGGGCGCCGGCGCCGCCAUGUUCCGGUACCCGUCCCUGGAGGACUGCCCGCUGGACGAGGAUGAAGAUGCCUUCCAGGCCCUGGGGGAGGAGGAUGAAGACAUCGACCAGUUCAACGAUGACACCUUCGGGGCCGGGGCCGUCGAUGAUGACUGGCAGGAGGCCCACGAGCGGCUGGCGGAGCUGGAGGACAAGGCCGGGUCGAGCCGGGAGCCGGACGGUCCCGUUGGGAAUGACGGGGAUGUUUUGGGUGAUCCCGAGGACGCGCUGGCCGAGCGGCUCACGCGACUUGUCAUCGACAGCGAGCUGGAGGACCCGGCCAUCAUGCAGGCCGUGCACACCAGGGACCCCCCACAGCAGCCUGGAGGGCUGAAUUCCAGCAUCUGGGACAGUUCAGCUGUGCUGCGGCGCAUCCGGGGGCCGCUCCUCGCUCAGGGAAUGGGGGUGUCCCUCCCAUUCCUCCCACAGGAGAUGCCGCCCGUGUCCGUGCUGGAUUAUGCCCUUCCCCAGAGGCCUCCGCAGGCUCGGGAUGAGGAGCGGGAUCCAUCGGAGCGGGCACUGCCCCGGCGCUCCUCGUCCCCCAUCAUCGGCAGCCCCCCGGUCCGGGCCGUUCCCAUCGGCACCCCCCCGAAACAGGCCGCCAUCCCAAACUUCAACCAGCAGAUCCUGUGUCCCAAGCCUGUCCACAUCCGAGCUACCAUGCAGCAGCGUUAUCCCACUCCCUAUGGAGAGAGGAUGUCCCCCAACCAGCUCUGCAAUGUUCCGAAUUCCUCCCUCCUGGGCCACCCGUUCCCCCACAGUGUCCCUCCCGUUCUCACGCACCUGCAGAGAGCCCAGCUGCUUGGAGGAGCCCAGGCCGGCCGAAUGUCCCCCAGCCAGUUUGCCCGGGUGUCCGGGUUGGUGGGGAGCCCGCUGCCCUCCGUCAAUCCCAAGCUGCUCCAGGGCAGAGUUGGGCAGAUGAUGUCCCCAGCCGGUGGGUUCCGUGCCUUUUUCGGGGCUCCCCCUGCCCCGCCCCCCUCGCAGCUGCCACACCCUCCGGGCCCCGGAUCCCACCUGCAGAACCUGAGGCCGCAGACCCAGAUGUUCCGUCCGGACACGACCCAUUUGCACCCCCAGCACCGCCGGCUCCUGCACCAGCGGCAGCAGCAGAACCGGAACCAGCACCGGAGCCUCAACGGCUCCGGGGGGGACCGAGGGGGCCACCGGAGCAGCCAUCAGGAGCAGAUCCGUAAGGAUCCCUAUGCCAACCUCAUGCUGCAGCGGGAAAAGGACUGGGUGUCCAAGAUCCAGAUGAUGCAGCUGCAGAGCACUGAUCCCUACCUGGAUGAUUAUUAUUAUCAGGAAUGGGGGAUUGUCAGACAAUGCUGGGAAAAGCCAGACUUGGAGCAGAAUUACUUCCAGAAGCUGGAGAAGUUGGCAGCAGCUGAGGAAGUGCACGGUGAUGGUCCCAAGAAGGAGCGCACUAAACUCAUCACCCCACAGGUGGCCAAGCUGGAGCACACCUACAAGCCAGUGCAGUUUGAGGGCUCGCUAGGAAAGCUCACCGUCUCCAGUGUCAACAACCCCCGGAAGAUGAUCGACGCCGUGGUGACGUCCCGCAGCGAGGAUGAUGAGACAAAGGAGAAGCAGGUCCGGGAUAAGAGGCGACAGACCCUCGUCACCAUCGAGAAGACGUACAGCCUCCUCCUGGACGUGGAGGACUACGAGCGCCGCUACCUCCUGAGCCUGGAAGGGGAGCGGCCAGCCCUGAUGGGAGAAAGGAAGCAGAAGAUCUGUGACAUGUACGACAAUCUGAGGGGGAAGGCACCUGGGCAGGACAGGCCGAGCGAUGACCACUUCAUGCAGAUCAUGUGCAUCCGGAAAGGAAAGCGCCUGGUGGCCCGGAUCCUCCCCUUCCUGGCUCCAGAGCAAGCGGCCGACGUGCUCAUGGCCACGGCCAGGAACCUGCCCUUCCUCAUCAAGAAGGAUGCUCAGGAUGAGGUGCUUCCCUGCCUCUUGAGGCCCUUUUCCCACGUCCUCUACCACCUUCCCUUGGGAACAGUCACCAGCCUUGUGCAGCAGCUCACAAACCUACCUCAGAGCGCCGCCGCUCCCACCAACCUGCACCUCACUGCUGUGCUCCAAAACAAGUUUGGUCUGUCCCUGCUGUACCUGGUUCUGAGCCGAGGGGAGGAAUUGCAGAGCUCAGACACAAACACGGAGCUGAUGCAGGACAACCAAUGGACAGAGCUGAUGCUGAUGGCGACCCGGGAGCUCCUGCGGAUCCCUCAGGGAGCUUUGGCAAAGCCCGUGUCCAUCCCCUCCAACUUGAUCUCCCUCUUCUCUCGCUAUGUUGACCAGCAGAAGCUGAACCUGCUGGAGACAAAAUUGCAGUGAGUGCCAGCCCUCUUCCCAUGGGAAUGUGGCCCUGUUCCAACGGGGGACCUGGAGAAGGGGGAAACUGGAGCUUAGUGCAGGGGAUCCGGUAGAUCUCCGUGGCUCCUCGCCACCACCGGAAUGUUCCAGAGGAAGGAUGGAUGGAAGGAAGGAAGGAAGGAAGGAAGGAAGGAAGGAAGGAAGGAAGGAAGGAUGGAUGAAUGGAGGGCACACGGUUCACCCCACACUUCCCCCGACACCUGGCCUGGCACAUGGGGCACAUCUGCCCUCCAGUCCCUGGAUCAGCAGGAAGAGGGGGUUGUUUGGCUGCUCCCCCCUCUCAAACAAAGUGCUGCCUUUCCCUGCUGCUCCCAAUUUCCCCCCAACUCCCUCUGCACCCCCAAAAACUGCUGCUUCCCCCCCAAACACACACACACACACCACACACACACACUACUGAGGAUCCUGGGAAGUGAGGAGCCCCUUGCUCCACAUCCUUGGCCAGGGGUUCCCCGCUCCUUCCCUGCUCCUUCUCCAGCCCUUCCCACAAGCACUGAGCUCUGCUUCCUGCCCUUCCCCACACUUCACACACCUGUUUCGCACACUUGCCUCGUCUUCCCAAAAUUCGGCUCCUUCCCUCCCCCUGGGAUCAGCCCCAGCAUCUCCGGGGUGGGGAGGCACAGCCGGGUCUCUGUCCCCUCUGGAUCGGAUCCGGGUGGAUUCAGCUGUGCUGCUCCUUGGGAAGGUGGUGGUGGUGGUUGGGGGAUAAUUUUACCUUUUUUUUUAAUUUUUUUUUUUAUUUUAUUUUUUUUCUUUUAAAAUAAAAAAAAAAACAUGAGAUUUGCACAUAUAGGGAUUUUUCACCCCGGAAUUCUUCCUGGCAUUAACCAGCCCCCCUUCCGCUGCUCUCGGCUCCUUCCCUGUCUUUUUCCUCUGACAGAUCAAGUGGAAAGUUCAUUUAUUACUUUAUUUUAUUUCUUUUUUCCUGCUUUUUUGUUUUGGUUUUUUUUUCCUUCCCCCCCUCCUAUUUCUGCUUUUUUUCUUAAUUUCAUUUGCUUGCGGUAAUUUUUUUUUGUUUGUUUUUUUUCUUCCUCAUCCCUUCCAGUCUUUGGUUCUGGUUAAUGAGAAUAAAGUUUCUAAAUUUACAUUUUUAUAGGGUAUUGUAAAUAAAGAUGAAUUGUAUACGGCUGCCA